CCAGCCUCUGCUGUGCCCACAUGACCCACAACUCUGGCAGCGGACCCGGCACUUCCAACAUUAUUAAAUAAUAAGAAAGCGGCUCCUACUCCAUGCCCAAACCUCCCUACAGACCAAUGGACACCUUCUAAGAGUUUGGCGAGUCGGUGACUGAGGCGCCCGUCCAUUCCAAGGUUACAGACUCAGAAAAUAGUAAACAGGUUUUUCACUUAUAUGAAUAUCCCAAGGGACAUUUAAAGGUCUUGCAAGACUUGGGACAAGUCUUACCUUCCUCCUGUGAAGAAGUGAGCCCUGUGUAUUGCAAGACAUCCUUGACCUCUACUUACCAUAGGGUAAGAGUUUCUACCACCUGCUCUGAGAACCACUGGAAUAGAUGAGUAGACUCACUAUUUUUCUUUAGAUUAGAGUAAAAUUUAUAUUGGGUUUAAAGUACUUUUCAUGAUAUUGAGCUUUGUGUUUAUUUUGCUUGAGUUUUUGCAUUAGUUUGCUUUGAGCCCUCUGACCACACAGAAGUGGUGUGUCUUUAAUGUCUAACUUAGAAGACCAAAAAUAUUUGAUGAUUAAAAGAAAAGAAGGAAGGGAGGGAAUAUAUCUUCCAGCUUUUGUAUAUGUGCCCUAUUAAGAUGAAGAUAACCAACAACAACCAUGAACGUUUUUGAGUCAGAAUUGAAUGGACUAAAAUACUAUUAUUUAUAAACAAAAGGGAAUAUGAAAAAGGAAAAUAUAUAGUAAUAUAGAAUUGGGAAAGACAUAUUUAGAAUGAUCGGCCAAGAUAAACAUUUUGUGGAAAACGAAAAGAAAAGGUAAUUUUUUUCUUGAUGGAAAAGUAAAGUAGAAGUUUCUGCAGACAUACGCCUUCAGCAUUAACAAUAGCUACCAACACUUAUAUAGUGUUUACUAUGUGCCAGACACUCAUCUAAGUGUUUAUACAUGUUAAAUCAUUUCAUCUUCACAACAAUCCCAUUUUACAGGUGAGAAAACUGAGGUAGAAAGAUGUUUAUUUAGCACAUUGUCCAAGGUCAUACAACCAAAGUGAAGGAGCUGGAGUUUGAACCUGUGUAGUCUGAUACCACGUCUAGUUUUCAACCUCUCUUCUAUAUUAUUGAGGCUUAUGUGCCAGUCACUUAAAGUAGGAUUUUAAAAUAAUAGUAUUUUUGCUGAGUAAAUUAGUUUUACUAUUAUAAUGCUAUGAAAGGUUUAAACAAUGUGAUUCAGAGAAUAGAAGGCCAGCGCAAUUCUUAGUUAUGAGACAGUCCCGUGCACACGGGCAGGACACUAAGCAUCUUUGAUUUCUGCCCACUAAAUACCAGAAUUCCAUAUUUUAAUUAUACAAAUAGCACAUGAAUGCAUUCUCAUGAUAAAAAUUUAAACUACAGAAGUUCGUAAGGUAAAAUCAUCUUCCUUCACAAUCCUCUAACAGUUUCUCUCUCUUCCUCAAAAAUAACAGUUUGGGAUGUUUCUUUCUGCUCCUUUUUCUAAGAAUUUAUGAGUACAUACACAUACACAUAAUUUUCUUACAUAAAAUGGCUGGGAAGUACAUAUAUUUUUUCGUUUCUUUCCUUCAUUUAUUCUGGUGAUUUUUUUCGUACCGGAAUAUAUGGACCUUUCUAAUAGUAGCUUAAUAAGCCAUAAAUGUAUGCUAGAAA
rnacentral:lncRNA from 1 species